GACGAACGCUGGCGGCGUGCUUAACACAUGCAAGUCGAACGGAAAGGCCCUGCUUUUGUGGGGUGCUCGAGUGGCGAACGGGUGAGUAACACGUGAGUAACCUGCCCUUGACUUUGGGAUAACUUCAGGAAACUGGGGCUGAUACCGGAUAGGAGCUCCUGCUGCAUGGUGGGGGUUGGAAAGUUUCGGCGGUUGGGAUGGACUCGCGGCUUAUCAGCUUGUUGGUGGGGUAGUGGCUUACCAAGGCUUUGACGGGUAGCCGGCCUGAGAGGGUGACCGGCCACAUUGGGACUGAGAUACGGCCCAGACUCCUACGGGAGGCAGCAGUGGGGAAUAUUGCACAAUGGGCGGAAGCCUGAUGCAGCAACGCCGCGUGCGGGAUGACGGCCUUCGGGUUGUAAACCGCUUUCGCCUGUGACGAAGCGUGAGUGACGGUAAUGGGUAAAGAAGCACCGGCUAACUACGUG
rnacentral:rRNA from 1 species